rnacentral:rRNA from 1 species
GGGUCAGUAGGUUGGUCGUGCCACCGGUACGUACUGGUCUCACUGAUUCCUCCUUCCUGAAGAACCGUAAUGCCACUAAUUUGGUGUUGCGGGGAAACAGGACUGUUACUUUGAAAAAAUUAGAGUGUUUAAAGCAAGCUAACGCUUGAAUACAUUAGCAUGGAAUAAUGAAAUAGGACGAUCGAUCCUAUUUUGCUGGUUUCUAGGAUUGACGUA